rnacentral:rRNA from 1 species
ACCAGACUCCUACGGGAGGCAGCAGUGGGGAAUAUUGCACAAUGGGCGAAAGCCUGGUGCAGCGACGCCGCGUGAGUGAAGAAGUAUUUCGGUAUGUAAAGCUCUAUCAGCAGGGAAGAAAAUGACGGUACCUGACUAAGAAGCCCCGGCUAACUACGUGCCAGCAGCCGCGGUGAUACGUAGGGGGCAAGCGUUAUCCGGAAUCACUGGGUGUAAAGGGAGCGUAGACGGCUGAGCAAGCCUGAAGUGAAAGGCGGGGGCCCAACCCCUGGACUGCUUUGGGAACUGUACGGCUGGAGUGCAGGAGAGGUAAGUGGAAUUCCUAGUGUAGCGGUGAAAUGUGUAGAUAUUAGGAGGAACACCAGUGGCGAAGGCGGCUUACUGGACUGUAACUGACGUUGAGGCUCGAAAGCGUGGGGAGCAAACAGGAUUAGAUACCCCUGUAC